UUUCGAAUUCACCCACUGCCACUUUGAUGUUCCGCCUCCUCUACCCCGGGAAUUGCAUCUAUUCAACUUAUGAAUUCGAAAUCCACUUCGAAAUGACACCAAUUUCGAAUUCACCCACUGCCACUUUGAUGUUCCGCCUCCUCUACCUCGGGAAUUGCAUCUAAAGCACUCCAUCCGCCCUAGGCGGACCCCACAUGACUAGAAAUCGCCAUUUUAUUAUUUUUUAAUCAUUUUUAGGAAAUUAUUUUGUAAUAAGUGGCCAAUGAGAG
rnacentral:lncRNA from 1 species